AGCAGCCGCGGUAAUUCCAGCUCCAAUAGCGUAUAUUAAAGUUGUUGCAGUUAAAAAGCUCGUAGUUGAAUUUCGGGAUCAAUAUGUUGGUCGUGCCUUUGGUACGUACUAGCUUAUUGAUUUCUCCCUUCUGACGAACCAUGAUGUCAUUAAUUUGGUGUCAUGGGGAAUCAGGACUGUUACUUUGAAAAAAAUUAGAGUGUUUAAAGUAGGCUUACGCUUGAAUACAUUAGCAUGGAAUAAUGAAAUAGGACGUUUUGAUUCUAUUUUGUUGGUUUCUAGGAUCGACGUAAUGAUUAAUAGGGAUAGUUGGGGGCAUUAGUAUUCAAUUGUCAGAGGUGAAAUUCUUGGAUUUAUUGAAGACUAACUACUGCGAAAGCAUUUGCCAAGGAUGUUUUCAUUAAUCAAGAACGAAAGUUAGGGGAUCGAAGACGAUCAGAUACCGUCGUAGUCUUAACCAUAAACUAUGCCGACUAGGGAUCAGAUGAUGUUAAUUUUUAAUGACCCAUUCGGCGCCUUA
rnacentral:rRNA from 1 species